rnacentral:misc_RNA from 1 species
GAUGAUGAUUGCUUUGUUGCUAAGGAUCCUUCUGGCAAGCCAAUCAAUGCACUUGAGCAGCACAUCAAGAACCUUCUCUCCCCAUCGACUCCCUUUUUCUUCAAUACCCUUUAUGAUCCUUACAGAGAAGGUGCAGAUUUUGUUCGUGGAUACCCUUUCAGCCUUCGUGAGGGUGUCCAUACUGCUGUUUCUCAUGGCCUAUGGCUCAACAUCCCUGAUUAUGAUGCACCUACUCAGCUUGUCAAGCCUCUGGAGAGGAACACA